rnacentral:rRNA from 1 species
GGUUCCGUCGGGACUGAGUAGAGCGGCGCGACGGUGAGUAACGCGGUGGGUCGACCUACCCGAGGACGGACCGGGAUAACAGGUAGGGAAACUGCUGACUAACGUACCGGUACGCUUCAUAUUUCACGUAUGGGGGAAAGGCGGCCUCUGCUUGCAAGCUGCCACUCUUGGAUGGGCCCGCGUCUCAUUAGCUUGUUGGUAGGGUAACGGCCUACCAAGGCGACGAUGAGUAGCUGGUCUGAGAGGAUGAUCAGCCACACUGGGACUGGAACACGGCCCAGACUCCUACGGGAGGCAGCAGUGGGGAAUAUUGCGCAAUGGGCGAAAGCCUGACGCAGCGACGCCGCGUGAGGGAAAGAAGGCCUUCGGGUCGUAAACCUCUGUCAGGAGGGAAGAAACCAUGGGAGUCGAAUAGGCUCUCGUGCUGACGGUACCUCCGGAGGAAGCACCGGCUAACUCCGUGCCAGCCGCAGC